rnacentral:rRNA from 1 species
CGCGUAGGCGGCUCAUAAAGGCUGUGGUGAAAGUUCGGGGCUCAACCUCGAAUCGGCCGUGGCGACUUGUGGGCUGGAGCACUGUAGAGGCAGGUGGAAUUCCGGGUGUAGCGGUGGAAUGCGUAGAUAUCGGGAGGAACACCAGUGGCGAAGGCGACUACCUGGCCUGUUCUUGACGCUGAGGCGCGAAAGCUAGGGAGCAAACG